AGGCAUUCGUGCAUGUGGUUAUAUCCGGUUGUAUUCCGAAGAAGCUUGGGCUGGAGGUGAGCGUUGGUUGCUGUAAUAAAUUUAAUUAGUACGCUCGAAAAGCCCAAAGGAUAAGAUUUUGCUCGUUAGCGAUCGGAUUCGGGAUCAUUAAAGUCGAAGUCAUCUACACUAUCAAAGCCUCCAUUUUGGUAUAAUUUUGGUUGAACUUUGAAAUGGCAUGUAUAGGACUACCCUAAUGUUGAAGGUCAUGUACCUUUCGGUUUUGUGUAAACUUGGAUAGCCAUGCGAAAAUGGCUUAUAUCGUUUUGGUAUGAUACUAUAA